rnacentral:rRNA from 1 species
ACACGACUACAUUAGAUACCCGGGUAGUCCUAGCCGUAAACGAUACUCGCUAGGUGUCGGCCACGGUGCGACCGUUGUCGGUGCCGUAGGGAAGCCGUGCAGCGAGCCACCUGGGAAGUACGGCCGCAAGGCUGAAACUUAAAGGAAUUGGCGGGGGAGCACCACAACGGGUGGAGCUUGCGGUUUAAUUGGAUUCAACGCCGGAAAUCUUACCGGGACCGACAGCAACAUGAAGGCCAGGCUGAAGACUUUGCCGGAUUAGCUG